UAAUUAAAACAAAGCAUGGCGAUGGUCCCUGCGGAUGUUGACGCAAUGUGAUUUAUACCCAGUUCUUUGCAUGUGAAAGUGAAGAAAUUCAACCAAGAUGGGGUAAACAAUGAGAGUAGCUAUGACUCUCUUAAGGUCGUCAAAUGCCUCGUCAUCUAAUGAGUGACAUGCAUGAAUGGAUUAAUAAGAUUCCCACUUUCCCUAGCUAUUAUCUAUAGAAACCACAACCAACAGAUAUUAG
rnacentral:ncRNA from 1 species